rnacentral:tRNA from 2 species
GCGAAAGUAGCUCAGUUGGUUAGAGUACCGGUUUGUGGUACCGGGUGUCGUGAGUUCGAGUCUCAUCUUUCGCCCCA